rnacentral:rRNA from 1 species
GUCUAAAGCCAUGCCACCUUGAACAAGCCCAGUGUCUGAUCUUGGAAGCUAAGCAAGGUCAGGCCUGGUUAAUACUUGGAUAGGAGACCACCUAGGAAGACUAGGUGCUGUAGGCA